UACGUAGGGGCUAGCGUUGUCCGGAAUCAUUGGGCGUAAAGCGCGUGUAGGCGGCCCGGUAAGUCCGCUGUGAAAGUCGGGGGCUCAACCCUCGGAUGCCGGUGGAUACUGUCGGGCUUGAGUACGGAAGAGGCGAGUGGAAUUCCUGGUGUAGCGGUGAAAUGCGCAGAUAUCAGGAAGAACACCCGUGGCGAAAGCGGCUCUCUGGAACGGUACUGACGCUGAGA
rnacentral:rRNA from 1 species